rnacentral:rRNA from 1 species
GCUCUGUUGUUAGGGAAGAACAAGUACCGUUCGAAUAGGGCGGUACCUUGACGGUACCUAACCAGAAAGCCACGGCUAACUACGUGCCAGCAGCCGCGGUAAUACGUAGGUGGCAAGCGUUGUCCGGAAUUAUUGGGCGUAAAGGGCUCGCAGGCGGUUUCUUAAGUCUGAUGUGAAAGCCCCCGGCUCAACCGGGGAGGGUCAUUGGAAACUGGGGAACUUGAGUGCAGAAGAGGAGAGUGGAAUUCCACGUGUAGCGGUGAAAUGCGUAGAGAUGUGGAGGAACACCAGUGGCGAAGGCGACUCUCUGGUCUGUAACUGACGCUGAGGAGCGAAAGCGUGGGGAGCGAACAGGAUUAGAUACCCUGGUAGUCCACGCCGUAAACGAUGAGUGCUAAGUGUU